CGGAAUGCAGAGCUUAUUGCAAUAGAAGAGUGAUGCAGGGGAUAUCCACUGCAGCCCCCUGCAAGUCUGCACCCACGACCAGCCAGUUUCCUGCUCCAGCUGCGGCCAGGAAAGUCCCUGCAACCAGGCUGUGGCUGCGCUCUGUUGAACUGGAGAUGGCAGUCGCUGACAAAAUACUUCUCAGCUAGAGACCUGGGCCUUGAGAAACCCCGGCUUUUCUCAAGGCCAGAGCUCUCCCCGGAACGCUUUCC
rnacentral:lncRNA from 12 species